GCAUCUAUGGUGUAGCGGUAACAUUGGGUCUUCCCAUGGCCUAGCUCCGGGUUCGACUCCCGGUGGAUGCA
rnacentral:tRNA from 1 species